GUUAGCUUAGCUCAAUUGGUAGAGCCCUCUGGACCGGUAAUCCAGAGGAUGUGGGUUCGAGUCCUACAGCUGGCUAACA